CAAAUGCUGAAGGGCGGGAAAGUCCGUUGGUGACGGCGGGCCAGGUGCAGAAAACAGGAAAGUUCCUGCCGGUGGGAAUGUUUCCGCCAUGUUUCUUUUCCCUUCCCCCAGACCUUACAGAUGGAUAUGACCACCUUUUAAGAUCUUCAGAUUUACAAUCCUGAGAUCUCCCAUUGAGCUCUUCAGAACUAUAAGUCUGACCUGAACUGGCGUGAGACAAUGUAGAGAAGUUUUGGAUUUUUGCUCCAAAAAUACACAUGACAAAGCUGCCCAUCUUCCCAACCACAUGCACCUGAAAGGGUGUCCCUGCAUCGAAUCCAUUUCUCGAUGUAACACGCAUCAGACCAACAGCACGUCUGGAGCAGUAUCUUACUAUUUCAACAGCUUCACAGACGGAAUCACAGACUGUGAUUGGUCACAUCCGUUAUAAGCUACUGGAUAUUCCCGACCUCAGCAGUCUGGGAGGUCUGAGGGCCGAACCUCCUCCCUCGCCCACUUUGAGAAAGUGAGCUGGCUGUCCUUGUAAAUGCCCUUGGUGCAAACUGGCAAGACACAUGAGAAGGAGCCUCUCGAAAUCCACGCAGGUGUCUCCCCGCCUCGGGUAACGAGUCUCAUUGUGCCUUUGUGUCCUUACGUCCAGUCUGUCUCUGGCAAAGCAGUAAGUGACACUGUGGAAAAGGCAGAAGGGCAUAUCGUGGUUUCUGCACAAAGAGAGUCAUUUGGGAGGAGAAAAAAAGAAGGAAAGAAAAUCUCUGGAAACAUCUUAAAGGCAGCCAAGCCUAAGCAUGGCUGUGUGAGGAGACGUUCUCUUCUAUUUCACCAUGUGGAGCUGAUUUUACUCUCUGGCGUGCGUGUGUGUGUGUGUGUGUGUGUGUUUGCAUGUGUGUAUGUGUGUGUAAGAGAUUUUGUGACACAAAUGAAGCUCUUCUGGACAUCUAGGCAAUGGUAUUUUAAAUGAUCCAUUGAAAAGGACCUUUCAAUUCAAGCUGGCAUUUCAAAUUCUAUUUUAAUAACA